UUAGAUUAGGGCGCUUCUUUAAUUAACGUUUUGUUAGUGAGGGUUUUGCAUAGCCAUAUGUUCGGUAGUCUUCCAAGAGAAGGUCAUGCUAAGGUUCAGUCUUUACAGGUAAUGGCUAGGGACUAAAAUAAUGAGUAAACAAUAGAAUACAAAUCAAGGAUUACUGUAUGUCCCGGUAGCUCAAUUGAGUGCAGGCUAUCGUUCCAUUUAAUAAGACACAUUUUUUAGACCUGCUUCACGCAAAGGCGCCUUUAAACCGCAAAUGUGAGCAGGGUUGCAGGCCGAAAUAGGAGGUGGCCCUGGGCCAGUACAGUACUGUAAACAGGGUCUAAUACCCAGAGUAACAACCGCUGAAGAUGUGCGCGAGUUUGUGUUGGGUACCUUGUGUUUCAUUGUCAUCCAGUACCAAAGCCAUGUUUAUUUUUAAAAGGGAACUAUCUUAUGCAGUAGAUAUGCUCACAAUGUGGCAAGACGAAAUGCAGGUUUGCUUCCAUCACUACAGAAUGGAGUUGAAGUGGUGACAAUGAUGCCUACAACAGGUGGUCCGGAGGCCAUGGUUAAAACUGUCACCGCCCAGGAUCAAAGACUAAAUCCAUGCAAACCCUGUAAGGAGAUGAUUAUCUGCAGGGACUCGCUUGGCUCGUCUGUCAUGAAGCAGACUGUUCUCAAUGGAUUUCAAUUAGAAGGCUGAAGCGCAGCUUGCUGGGUGACUACAGCGACUUCUAUUGCAGCCUCAGUCCCAGCUCAAGCUGGCAGCCAUGGACCCAGCUGACCUGUGGACCUUGGGAGCGCUCGGACUGGCUGGUCUGAAGGGUGCAGUAGCAAGCAACUACCUGUAGAUGGCACCAAAACAUUGUAUCUGAGCCAGCAGAGGUGCAGUAGCAAGCAACUACCUGUAGAUGGCACCAAAACGUUGUGUAUUUGAUCAAGCAGAGAACAGUGUUACCGUGCAAGAAGUGCCAAUGAGGAGGCACUGACGCCAAAAACCGGAGCCUGUAGUGGAUACCCUUUAACGCUGGAGUGGAUGUUUCACUGGAAGUGGGACUUCCCAGCAGGUUGGGAUUUGGUAUCCUGAAGGAGCCUGUGUCAUCCAGUGGUUAAAGAAAAGGGCUUGUAACCAGGAGGUCCCUGGUUCAAAUCCCACCUCAGCCACAGACUCAUUGUGUGACCCUGAGCAAGUCACUUAACCUCCUUGUGCGCAGUCUUUUCGGGCGAGACGUAAUUGUAAGUGGCUCUGCAGCUGAUGCAUAGUUCACAGACCCUAGUCUCUGUAAGUCUCCUUGGAUAAAUGCAUCUGCUAAAUAAACAAAUAAUAAUAAAA